rnacentral:rRNA from 1 species
AGAAUGAACGCUGGCGGCAUGCCUAACACAUGCAAGUCGAACGAAGCCUUCGGGUUUAGUGGCGCACGGGUGCGUAACGCGUGGGAAUCUACCCCUUGGUUCGGAAUAACAGUUGGAAACGACUGCUAAUACCGGAUGAUGGCGUAAGUCCGAAAGAUUUAUCGCCGAGGGAUGAGCCCGCGUAGGAUUAGGUAGUUGGUGUGGUAAAGGCGCACCAAGCCGACGAUCCUUAGCUGGUCUGAGAGGAUGAUCAGCCACACUGGGACUGAGACACGGCCCAGACUCCUACGGGAGGCAGCAGUGGGGAAUAUUGGACAAUGGGCGAAAGCCUGAUCCAGCAAUGCCGCGUGAGUGAUGAAGGCCUUAGGGUUGUAAAGCUCUUUUACCCGGGAUGAUAAUGACAGUACCGGAGAAUAAGCUCCGGCUAACUCCGCGCCAGCCAGCCGC